AAACAAUUCAACAUCAGUUUCUCCAACACAACAUACUUUUGUCUGCAACAGAUUAUUAACUCCAAAUUUAUUUAAGUUUAUCAUAAAUAAUGAUAACAAUAAAAAAUAAUAGCAACAUUAAAAACAGAUAUUUAAUUCGUCAGAAUAAAUUCAUAUACUUACAUUGCCAAAUUUGUCCACGUCUGAAAACUCAUCAACAUUGACGAAUACCGCUGACGGAAGAUUUAACGACAAUGCAAUAUAGCAAUCAUUGUUAACUAUUUCUUCAGAUGUUACAUGAUAAAUAAUCGUCCUAACAAAUGAAAGUAAAUAUUUAUUAUCCAUUUUGUUGAAUCAAUUGUUUUUGAAUCAAAAAAAUUAACCUAUGAAAUCCAUCGCCGUCAACACGGAAAUCAAGUUGAGAAUUAAAUACUUUAUCAUGUGUUAACGUAAUUGAAAUACAAACUAAAAUGAAAAUUAAUUGAAUCAAAUAAUAUUUAUUGUGUGUCAUUUUGUGCUAGAGUUUAUUUAAAAUUAUUUCGAUUACAAACAAGACUGUAACAACGUAAAUAUCUAUACACCACAUGGAGCAUCUAGUACGUGCACUGACCAGAAGUGGCACAACAAACUAAGGACUAAUUCAAUUGAUGAUAUAACAGAAAUUUGCUUUUUUUAAUAAAUUUUUAAAUAAAUAAUAAAUAAAUUUAUAGUAAUACACA